AGUGAACGCUGGCGGUAGGCCUAACACAUGCAAGUCGAACGGCAGCACAGUAAGAGCUUGCUCUUACGGGUGGCGAGUGGCGGACGGGUGCGGAAAACAUCGGAAUUUACUUUUUCGUGGGGGAUAACGUAGGGAAACUUACGCCAAUACCGCAUACGACCUACGGGUGAAAGCAGGGGAUCUUCGGACCUUGCGCGAUUGAAUGAGCCGAUGUCGGAUUAGCUAGUUGGCGGGGUAAAGGCCCACCAAGGCGACGAUCCGUAGCUGGUCUGAGAGGAUGAUCAGCCACACUGGAACUGAGACACGGUCCAGACUCCUACGGGAGGCAGCAGUGGGGAAUAUUGGACAAAGGGCGCAAGCCUGAUCCAGCCAUACCGCGUGGGUGAAGAAGGCCUUCGGGUUGUAAAGCCCUUUUGUUGGGAAAGAAAAGCAGCAGGUUAAUACCCCGCUGUUCUGACGGUACCCAAAGAAUAAGCACCGGCUAACUUCGUG
rnacentral:rRNA from 1 species